rnacentral:lncRNA from 1 species
GCCACCAAAUCAUCAGGUCAUCUCUUCUCCAGUUAAGCUUUGUUGUUGGCGUCGAUUUGUUCUAGACUGGCCUCUCUCGAUCUCUGUUCUGUUCCUUUUUUCUUUUUCUUUUUUUUCCUCCCCUUUCGCUUGACUGCUUCAUCGUCAGACAUUUGCUGCGUCGUCGUGCCGAGACACUCCUCAUCACCAAAAGCCAGAAGCGGGACUGCGACAGCAGAAACCAAGGAGAUGCGGUCGCGAUUGCUUUCGAUAAUUCCGCUUGCGUAGCUCGCUGCAUCAGAGGGAUCGAGUCAACUAAAACCUUCCACAAAGAACAAUAAUCAUUGAUGCACCACACGUAACGGUAAUCAUCGAUGUGCCAUUUUGAUACUAGCAACAUCAUCUAAAAGCAGUUUCGCCUUGACAGCAAACCGACCGAAUAAGAACGAAGCAACUGGAAUGACAUCAGUUGGAGCUUGAAUUCAUGGAAACGAGCGGCAGCGACAAUGAUCUGCAUCUGACGCCCCUGAAGGUCUUCUGGUGGAGACAUUGCUAGCCGAAGACAAUGAAUGUGACUUGGAAUUUCUGUCUACUCCGAGCUCAGCGUCGAGGUAGAGAAGGCCAGGCC